AACUCCCUUAUGAACAGUAACUCCCCUUAUGAAUAGUGUGCUGACGCUUUUGCCCUUUUGUGUUUUAAGGAAUUGCACAGCCCACCUAGCCCACCUGUACGAUUUAUGUCGCGCCGUGUUUUCGUCUUCCGCGUGUCUUCUGCGCUUUUCUCCACCGAACGACCGCUUGGGGGAGAAACAGGACAUCAGAAAGUGCUGCAGACACCACUCAAAUUACCAUCUUCUGUAAGCAAAAAAAGUUCAAGAUAGAGAGAAGAGUGAUAGUAGAAGAAGCAAAUCAAAUGGGCAAUCGGUGCAGCGUAGUUUGCUAAGGACACCAUCAUUGCCACCGUAGGGACGCCACACCUCAGUUCUGUUUGCCCAAAGGACUGAAAUUCAUCAUUGAGAGAAAGAGAGAAGCAAGAAGCACAAGAAUAAAGCAGCUUCAAAUCCUUUGCAGUUUGAUAAGGGGAAGAAGGUAGAUAGUUCAGAGAAAAGGAAGAGGGGGACGGGAACGAAUCAAAAUCGGGGUUUAUGAUUGUUAGAUUGAGUUUGUCAUGAACAAGGAGAAGGAAGGUCAUUUUUGGAAUUGCAUUGAGGAAAGCACGAGAGCUGCAGAUUUGUAGGUGACUAUUUUCAGCAACAAACCAACUACAAUAAAAAAAGUGAAGUGGUCUGCAACUAAAUAUGUUAUUUUUAGAGAUCGAUCGACUUUGGUUCAAUCUUGAAUCUCUAAUUGCUAGCUAGCCGGGUUCAAAUCUUCUUCAUUUGCUUCUGAGAUCAACAUCAGAGCCAACCCAGACUCGAUUACAGAAUUCCUCAGUUGGGGUGAAUCCUCAUCUCCUUCUUUCCAAUUCUUUCUGUCAGUAUAGGUUAUAAGUGGCUGCCCUCCAACUCCACCGAUCUGAGGAACAGUUUGCUGUCAACUUCUUUAGCUCUUUCGGCUUCAGAUAUAAAUAUUCCAGGUUAAAUGGCGGUUCGACAUGGAAGAAAUAAACAAUAUAUUGUUUUGGGUGAAAAGAGAAGUGAAGAUGAACUCAGCGUUUCACAAAGUAGUCAAGAGAAUUUCUCGAAUAUGAGGAGGAAAAGACAAAAGCAAAGAGCUGGUGAUUCCACUAUGGUUGAGCAUUCAAUUUCAUCUACUGUUGUUGGUGUUACAGCCGCUGUACCUGAUACUGCUGCUAUGCCAUCAUGUCCAAGGGCGAGAAAAAUGCGUGUCGAUUCUCAAAAAACUGUAAUACAUCUUAUUUGUAUACUUAUAAUCAAUUAUGAAUACGUAAUUAAUAAUGAGAAAAGGAACAGGUACA